rnacentral:rRNA from 1 species
GAUGAACGCUGGCGGCGUGCCUAAUACAUGCAAGUCGAGCGAACAGACGAGGAGCUUGCUCCUCUGACGUUAGCGGCGGACGGGUGAGUAACACGUGGAUAACCUACCUAUAAGACUGGGAUAAUUUCGGGAAACCGGAGCUAAUACCGGAUAAUAUAUUGAACCGCAUGGUUCAAUAGUGAAAGACGGUUUUGCUGUCACUUAUAGAUGGAUCCGCGCCGCAUUAGCUAGUUGGUAAGGUAACGGCUUACCAAGGCGACGAUGCGUAGCCGACCUGAGAGGGUGAUCGGCCACACUGGAACUGAGACACGGUCCAGACUCCUACGGGAGGCAGCAGUAGGGAAUCUUCCGCAAUGGGCGAAGGCCUGACGGAGCAACGCCGCGUGAGUGAUGAAGGUCUUCGGAUCGUAAAACUCUGUUAUUAGGGAAGAACAAAUGUGUAAGUAACUAUGCACGUCUUGACGGUACCUAAUCAGAAAGCCACGGCUAACUACGUG